UACGUAGGGGGCAAGCGUUGUCCGGAAUCAUUGGGCGUAAAGAGCGUGUAGGCGGCCAGAUAAGUCCGCUGUGAAAUCUCGAGGCUCAACUUCGAGCUGUCGGUGGAAACUGUCUGGCUAGAGUCCGGAAGAGGAGAAUGGAAUUCCUGGUGUAGCGGUGAAAUGCGCAGAUAUCAGGAAGAACACCGAUGGCGAAGGCAGUUCUCUGGGACGGUACUGACGCUGAGACGCGAAAGCGUGGGGAGCGAACAGG
rnacentral:rRNA from 1 species